rnacentral:rRNA from 1 species
UACGUAGGGUGCAAGCGUUGUCCGGAAUUAUUGGGCGUAAAGAGCUCGUAGGCGGUUUGUCGCGUCUGCUGUGAAAACUCGGGGCUUAACUCCGGGCCUGCAGUGGGUACGGGCAGACUAGAGUGCGGUAGGGGAGACUGGAAUUCCUGGUGUAGCGGUGAAAUGCGCAGAUAUCAGGAGGAACACCAACGGCGAAGGCAGCACUCUGGGCCGGUACUGACGCUGAGGAGCGAAAGCGUGGGGAGCAAACAGG